rnacentral:rRNA from 1 species
CACGGUAGGAUUCAUGACUGGGGUGAAGUCGUAACAAGGUAGCCGUAUCGGAAGGUGCGGCUGGAUCACCUCCUUUCC